CACCUGGUGGCACAAGGUGUGUGUCUGCAGUAUGUAGUUGAUCCAGCUAUGUUAUGCAGAAGGUCCCUGUUCGAUUCAGGGUCAGGUGA